rnacentral:rRNA from 1 species
AACCUCCGCAAUGUGAGAAAUCGCGACGGGGGGAUCCCAAGUGCCAUUCUUAACGGGAUGGCUUUUCAUUAGUGUAAAGAGCUUUUGGAAUAAGAGCUGGGCAAGACCGGUGCCAGCCGCCGCGGUAACACCGGCAGCUCUAGUGGUAGCAAUUUUUAUUGGGCCUAAAGCGUCCGUAGCCGGUUUAAUAAGUCUCUGGUGAAAUCUUGCAGCUUAACUGUGGGAAUUGCUGGAGAUACUAUUAGACUUGAGACCGGGAGAGGUUAGAGGUACUCCCAGGGUAGAGGUGAAAUUCUGUAAUCCUGGGAGGACCGCCUGUUGCGAAGGCGUCUAACUGGAACGGUUCUGACGGUGAGGGACGAAAGUUAGGGGCGCGAACCGGAUUAGAUACCCGGGUAGUCCUAACUGUAAACGAUGCGGACUUGGUGUUGGGGUGGCUUUGAGCUGCUUCAGUGCCGAAGGGAAGCUGUAAGUCCGCCGCCUGGGAAGUACGGUCGCAAGACUGAAACUUAAAGGAAUU